CGGGGUGCAGCAGGCGCGAAAACUUUACAAUGCGGGAAACCGUGAUAAGGGGACACCGAGUGCCAGCAUCAUAUGCUGGCUGUCCAGGUGUGUAAAAUACACCUGUCAGCAAGGGCCGGGCAAGACCGGUGCCAGCCGCCGCGGUAACACCGGCGGCCCGAGUGGUGAUCGUGAUUAUUGGGUCUAAAGGGUCCGUAGCCGGUUUGGUCAGUCCUCCGGGAAAUCUGACGGCUCAACCGUUAGGCUUUCGGGGGAUACUGCCAGGCUUGGAACCGGGAGAGGUAAGAGGUACUACAGGGGUAGGAGUGAAAUCUUGUAAUCCCUGUGAGACCACCUGUGGCGAAGGCGUCUUACCAGAACGGGUUCGACGGUGAGGGACGAAAGCUGGGGGCACGAACCGGAUUAGAUACCCGGGUAGUCCCAGCCGUAAACGAUGCUCGCUAGGUGUCAGGCAUGGCGCGACCGUGUCUGGUGCCGCAGGGAAGCCGUGAAGCGAGCCACCUGGGAAGUACGGCCGCAAGGCUGAAACUUAAAGGAAUUGGCGGGGGAGCACAAGGGCGAAUCGCG
rnacentral:rRNA from 1 species